rnacentral:rRNA from 1 species
UACGAAGGGGGCUAGCGUUGUCCGGAAUCACUGGGCGUAAAGGGCGCGUAGGCGGAUCGUUAAGUCAGGGGUGAAAUCCCGGGGCUCAACCUCGGAACUGCCCUUGAUACUGGCGAUCUUGAGUAUGAGAGAGGUAUGUGGAACUCCGAGUGUAGAGGUGAAAUUCGUAGAUAUUCGGAAGAACACCAGUGGCGAAGGCGACAUACUGGCUCAUUACUGACGCUGAGGCGCGAAAGCGUGGGGAGCAAACAGG